UUUGGGUACAGAGGGCCAUAGGUUCGAAUCCUGUCACCUUCAUGUGACGCUGAAGUCAGCAAAUACUCAAAUAUGAACAUCCAUCGACCGUUACCACCUCCUCUGACUCGUUACUUUCUAUAGCAAGCACACGAGACCUAUAGCUAAAGAUCAUAUAGCGCCACAGUAGAUAUACGAACCUAUACGGAACACUUCUCUCUUUCUCAGUGCUUUCUUUAGGCUCCUGGCUGCUCGUUGGUAGAACACAACCAAUAUGAUAUUGAGCUUGAGCAUCCGGGGCUAGUUUCUUUUCUUUUAUUUUAAAUAUGC
rnacentral:lncRNA from 1 species